rnacentral:rRNA from 1 species
AUCUACAGCUAUACCACCCUGAAUGCACUGGAUCUCAUCUGAUCUCAGAAGCUAAGCAGGGUCGGGCCUGGUUAUUACUUGGAUGGGAGAAAAUUGAAGGAGUUU